UACGUAGGGUGCGAGCGUUAAUCGGAAUUACUGGGCGUAAAGCGUGCGCAGGCGGUUCGUUGUGUCGGCGGUGAAAGCCCCGGGCUUAACCUGGGAAUGGCCGUUGAAACUGGCGAACUGGAGUGUGGCAGAGGGAGGUAGAAUUCCACGUGUAGCGGUGAAAUGCGUAGAUAUGUGGAGGAAUACCGAUGGCGAAGGCAGCCUCCUGGGCCAACACUGACGCUCAUGCACGAAAGCGUGGGGAGCAAACAGG
rnacentral:rRNA from 1 species